UACGAAGAAGGCAAGCGUUGUUCGGAAUUAUUGGGCGUAAAGGGCGCGUAGGCGGCGCCACAAGUCACUUGUGAAAACUCUGGGCUCAACUCAGAGCCUGCAAGCGAAACUGUGAUGCUGGAGUAUGGGAGAGGUGCGUGGAAUUCCCGGUGUAGCAGUGAAAUGCGUAGAUAUCGGGAGGAACACCUGUGGCGAAAGCGGCGCACUGGACCAUAACUGACGCUAAAGCGCGAAAGCUAGGAGAGCAAACAGG
rnacentral:rRNA from 1 species